rnacentral:lncRNA from 1 species
CUAUCCACACUCAAGUAUGGAGUUUAAAAUUAAUUUAUAUUUAGAUAUUAUCUAAAUAUAAUUUAGAUAUAAUCUAAAUAUAAUUUAGAUAUGAUCUAAUAACAUAUAGAUAUGAUCUAUACUUGCUGAAUUUUAGAUUUCAAAUUUACAUACAUGUAUAUUAGUUCAUAUCAUAGUUCGUGUAUGCUAGUUUUAGAUUUGAUCUAUGCAUGUAUUUAGAUUAAAUUAUUUAAUCUAUGUAUGUUCCGCUGUAAAAUUUUAAAAAUGCAUGCACAAAACCACCAUGCUUCCCUUCAACUGGUAACAGAGUGAAGACUCGUUA